UAACCCUUCAAGCUCAGCUUGGUGUUGGGGCCUGCCGCACAGGCAGCCCUUAAAAUCAGUGGCGGUGCUAUCUGGCUCUAAGCGUAGUAAUUCUCCUCGCUAUAGAGUCCCGGUGGAUGCUUGCCAUUAACCCCCAAUUUUCUAU
rnacentral:misc_RNA from 1 species